AUUGAACGCUGGCGGCAGGCCUAACACAUGCAAGUCGAACGGCAACAGGAGGCUGCUUGCUGCUUCGCUGAGGAGUCGCGGACGGGUGAGAAAUGACUGUGACACGGACUGGUGGAGGGGGAUAACUACUGGAAACGGAUACUACAAACGAAUAACGUCGCAAGACCAAAGAGGGUGAGCUUCGGGCCUCUUGCCAUCGGAGAUGCCCAGAUGGGAUUAGCUAGUUGGUGGGGUAACGGCUGGCCUAGGCGACGAUCCGUAGCUGGUCUGAGAGGACGACCAGCCACACUGGAACUGAGACACGGUCCAGACUCCUACGGGAGGCAGCAGUGGGGAAUAUUGGACAAUGGGCGCAAGCCUGAUGCAGCCAUGCCGCGUGUAUGAAGAAGGCCUUCGGGUUGUAAAGUACUUUCAGCGGGGAGGAAGAGAGUUAUGUUAAUACCUUGGCUCAUUGACGUUACCCGCAGAAGAAGCACCGGCUAACUCCGUG
rnacentral:rRNA from 1 species